GGUCUAAUAGUGUAGUGGUUAUCACAGUGGAUUCUGAUUCAUGAAGUUGACAAUGUGGCCUAGAAUUCCACUAACCCAGGUUCGAGUCCUGGUUAGACCU